GCGAAUACCGGAGAAUGUUAUCACGGGAGACACACGGCGGGUGCUAACGUCCGUCGUGAAGAGGGAAACAACCCAGACCGCCAGCUAAGGUCCCAAAGUCAUGGUUAAGUGGGAAACGAUGUGGGAAGGCCCAGACAGCCAGGAUGUUGGCUUAGAAGCAGCCAUCAUUUAAAGAAAGCGUAAUAGCUCACUGGUCGAGUCGGCCUGCGCGGAAGAUGUAACGGGGCUAAACCAUGCACCGAAGCUGCGGCAGCGACACUCAGGUGUUGUUGGGUAGGGGAGCGUUCUGUAAGCCUGCGAAGGUGGCCUGUGAGGGUUGCUGGAGGUAUCAGAAGUGCGAAUGCUGACAUAAGUAACGAUAAAGCGGGUGAAAAGCCCGCUCGCCGGAAGACCAAGGGUUCCUGUCCAACGUUAAUCGGGGCAGGGUGAGUCGACCCCUAAGGCGAGGCCGAAAGGCGUAGUCGAUGGGAAACGGGUUAAUAUUCCCGUACUUGGUGUUACUGCGAAGGGGGGACGGAGAAGGCUAUGUUGGCCGGGCGACGGUUGUCCCGGUUUAAGCGUGUAGGUGUGUGUUCCAGGUAAAUCCGGUUCACUUUAACACUGAGGCGUGACGACGAGGCACUACGGUGCUGAAGCAACAAAUGCCCUGCUUCCAGGAAAAGCCUCUAAGCAUCAGGUAACAUCAAAUCGUACCCCAAACCGACACAGGUGGUCAGGUAGAGAAUACCAAGGCGCUUGAGAGAACUCGGGUGAAGGAACUAGGCAAAAUGGUGCCGUAACUUCGGGAGAAGGCACGCUGACACGUAGGUGAAGUGAUUUACUCAUGGAGCUGAAGUCAGUCGAAGAUACCAGCUGGCUGCAACUGUUUAUUAAAAACACAGCACUGUGCAAACACGAAAGUGGACGUAUACGGUGUGACGCCUGCCCGGUGCCGGAAGGUUAAUUGAUGGGGUCAGCGCAAGCGAAGCUCCUGAUCGAAGCCCCGGUAAACGGCGGCCGUAACUAUAACGGUCCUAAGGUAGCGAAAUUCCUUGUCGGGUAAGUUCCGACCUGCACGAAUGGCGUAAUGAUGGCCAGGCUGUCUCCACCCGAGACUCAGUGAAAUUGAACUCGCUGUGAAGAUGCAGUGUACCCGCGGCAAGACGGAAAGACCCCGUGAACCUUUACUAUAGCUUGACACUGAACAUUGAGCCUUGAUGUGUAGGAUAGGUGGGAGGCUUUGAAGCGUGGACGCCAGUCUGCGUGGAGCCGACCUUGAAAUACCACCCUUUAAUGUUUGAUGUUCUAACGUGGACCCGUAAUCCGGGUUGCGGACAGUGUCUGGUGGGUAGUUUGACUGGGGCGGUCUCCUCCUAAAGAGUAACGGAGGAGCACGAAGGUUGGCUAAUCCUGGUCGGACAUCAGGAGGUUAGUGCAAUGGCAUAAGCCAGCUUGACUGCGAGCGUGACGGCGCGAGCAGGUGCGAAAGCAGGUCAUAGUGAUCCGGUGGUUCUGAAUGGAAGGGCCAUCGCUCAACGGAUAAAAGGUACUCCGGGGAUAACAGGCUGAUACCGCCCAAGAGUUCAUAUCGACGGCGGUGUUUGGCACCUCGAUGUCGGCUCAUCACAUCCUGGGGCUGAAGUAGGUCCCAAGGGUAUGGCUGUUCGCCAUUUAAAGUGGUACGCGAGCUGGGUUUAGAACGUCGUGAGACAGUUCGGUCCCUAUCUGCCGUGGGCGCUGGAGAACUGAGGGGGGCUGCUCCUAGUACGAGAGGACCGGAGUGGACGCAUCACUGGUGUUCGGGUUGUCAUGCCAAUGGCACUGCCCGGUAGCUAAAUGCGGAAGAGAUAAGUGCUGAAAGCAUCUAAGCACGAAACUUGCCCCGAGAUGAGUUCUCCCUGAGACUUAGAGUCUCCUGAAGGAACGUUGAAGACGACGACGUUGAUAGGCCGGGUGUGUAAGCGCAGCGAUGCGUUGAGCUAACCGGUACUAAUGAACCGUGAGGCUUAACCUUACAAC
rnacentral:rRNA from 1 species